UCAAACCAGCAAUGGGAUGCACACGAUAUCGUGACUUCCGUCAUACGGUCGCUUAUCUUUCUAUUUUUGCCUUCCCGGAUUCCCUCGUCCCUCGCGGUUUUCCGACCAUACUUGGAAACAAGCGUGUCCACGCAUAGGUAGAAAGCCCCCCUAUUUCAUCUCCUUUUCACCUUUCCUCAAACCCUACUUCGCUAGGGUUUUCGCGUCCCCUUCCCCAUCCCUUUUACCCCCUUGGAAAUGGCCGUCUCCAUUCCUCCGGUUCUAAAGCGCUACUCCAUUCCUCUGUUCCUCUUUACCCUCGGCCUCUUCUUCCAGAUCGUCGUUCUCCCUUCCUCCUUUUCCCCUACCCAUUACGCGGUGCUUGGCGUGAAGGCGCAUGCAUCUGUUCAAGAAGUCACUGAAGCGUAUGAGAAACUUUCAGCCAAAUGGUUCUCAGAUUCAACACCCCCAACUACUAUUGAAUUCAUCAAGAUUCGCUAUGCAUAUGAGAUGUUGACAAAUCCUGUAUGGAAGAGAGACUAUGACCUUUUUGGUAUUGAUGAGCAGCUGCAUGUCAUUGAGAAACUUAAAAAGCAGUAUGAUGGGGUGGACUCUUCAAAAAUUGAAUUACCACUGCUGAAUGCAUCUAUAUCUGACUUGGCGAAUCAUGGCUUUAAUGUACUCUCACCUGAGGAGUUCGUUUCUAUUACUGGGAAGGGAAAGGCAGUGCUAAUACAGGUUUAUUCAGCUGGGAGUCCUCGCUGUGCCCAAUUCCUCAAUAGUUGGAAGAGAAUCGCUAAUUUACUGGAAGGGGUUGCUGAAACUGGUAUGGUGGAGCUUGGUGAUGUUCAAGUGGCUGCUUACCUUGCUGAAAAGAAGUAUACCGGGCAGCCAUUUUUUCGAAAUGGUCUACCUGCCCUUGUUGCAUUUCCACCUAACUGUAGAAGUGGAGACUGUUAUGUGAGGUACCAAGGAGAACCCUCAGUUUAUGAAAUUGUUGAUUGGAUGGCAACAAAUAUACUUGGCUUGCCUCGCAUAUAUUACUAUUCAAAGGAAGCUUUGGCUCCCAAUUUCAUGGCAAAGAUUGGUCAACAUAAGGUUAAAGUUCUUUGCUUCUCAAAAACCGGAGAACGUGCUGCUCCAUUCUUGCGCCAAGCUGCCAAAGAUUAUGGGACUUAUGCGUCUUUUGCAUUCGUUUUAUGGACAGAAGAGGAUUCUUCCAUUUGGUGGAACUCAUUUGGUGUGGAAUCAGCCCCUGCUAUUGUAUUUUUAAAGGAUCCAGGUUUAAAGCCUGUUGUUUACCAUGGAAGCCUAAACAGCUCAGAGUUUAUAACCAUCAUGGAAGAGAAUAAACACAAAGAACCUCCCCAACUAAGGAGUGUGACAUCUAUGGAGCUAGGAUGUGAUGCAAGAGGUUACUCUCGAGCCGGAAAUGACACUAAAAUCUGGUAUUGUGUGAUUGUUGCUGGCCGCCCUAGCCAUGAGCUAAGUAAAAUGCGUGAUACCAUGCGCAGGGUCCGCAAUGUAUUGUUGGAUGCUGUUGAUCCAGAUAAUGCCAAUAAAGUUAACUUUUCAGUUCAAGCAUCUGCUGCUGCUGCUGCGGCUGCAUUAAAAGAGAAUCGCUUGACAUUUACAUGGCUUGAUGGUGAACUUCAGAAGAAAUACUGUAUGUUUUACCUCUUUUCGGAUGAUGCCUAUGAAACUUGUGGACCGAGGAGGUAUGGAGAUUUUACUGAUGUGCCUCGAUUAUUUAUUGUGCGCUACAAAAGAAAUUCAACAGAAGCAAAUAUUAAGGUCAAGAAGUGGCCACAAAGUAUGUGGGAUGCUCCUUCAGAGGAGAAUGCUAAUGUUGCCUCCCAGCUUGUGGCAAGGUACAAGGGUUCACAGGACAUUUAUGAGAUUGUUCACUGGCUCUCGGAGAUUGUUGAGGAUGGUGACACAAAAGAGCUUCCAUAUUCUACUCAACCGACUCCACAUCUUAUCCCCGAGGAUGCCAACCCAAUCUGGUCAAGCACUCAGGGUAUGCUUUCUCCUCGCAAUGCUGUAAAAGAGAAGAUCCGGAGCAUUGCUUUCCAUAUCGGUGAUUACAUGAGAGACCCCAGAAUUGGUCCUGGCUUGCUGUUAGGUGCAUGCAUAUCAUUUGGUACAGUUUGGCUGAAAAGCAGUCAAACGACCCAACCUCCUAAAAGGUCAGAAGAGGUGGUAAAAUAACAAGGUUUGAAGCAUGGAUUUCCACUGAACAGGCUGACUUCUAUGGUCUUUGCUUUUCUAUCACCCUUGAUCAACUUACAGGCCUGAAUUUAGUGCUCUGGAUUUCUUUAAGGAUGAAGGAACAAGCAGUAGAGGAGCCAGUAGGAGACGUCAAAACACAAGAAGCUCAAACCAUGAUAGGCCCCCAUCUAUCACUGAUGCUGAACCAAAAGAUGCAUAUCAGAUGCUAUCAACAGACUCUGACUCAGAAUAGGUGGUGUUCAUACGGUGCCAGAGUGGAGCAUAUAGGGUGCAGCAGCAACUAUCACAUAUGUGAAUCAGAUUUUCCAGUCUGUGUUUAACGUUAGACUGAAAUUGAAGCAAAAUUUCUGCCAAGUGUUUGAAAAAAGGUCAGGUGCUCGAUAGAAAUGCAAAAUUUGUUUUACAAUUAAGUUAUCGAUGAGUGGUUUUCCAACCAGUGACAACUCACAAGGUCAGCAUAAACUCAAUUAUCUUUCAAAAGGUGACAUGAGAAUGAUGAUUGUUAGUUACAGUGACAAGUCAUGCAGAAGAAAUGGUAUCGUUUCUCAUGUAUCCAUGAUUUCUUAUUUGUCUGAAAGGUUGUACUUGCAGGUGCCACAAUCUUCAAUUACAAAAGAAAUCAAAUUCCUUUGCUCAGAACUUUGAAACA